GGAAUUUUGGACAAUGGGCGAAAGCCUGAUCCAGCCAUGCCGCGUGAGUGAAGAAGGCCUUCGGGUUGUAAAGCUCUUUCGGCGGGGACGAAACGGUCCGUGCCAACACCACGGAUCAAUGACGGUACUCGCAGAAGAAGCACCGGCUAACUACGUGCCAGCAGCCGCGGUAAUACGGGGGGGGUAAGCGUUGUUCGGAAUUACUGGGCGUAAAGGGCUCGUAGGCGGCCAACUAAGUCAUACGUGAAAUCCCUCAGCUUAACUGGGGAACUGCGUGUGAUACUGGAUGGCUUGGAUUUGGGAGAGGGAUGCGGAAUUCCAGGUGUAGCGGUGAAAUGCGUAGAUAUCUGGAGGAACACCGGUGGCGAAGGCGGCAUCCUGGACCAAUAUUGACGCUGAGGAGCGAAAGCCAGGGGAGCAAACGGGAUUAGAUACCCUGGUAGUCCACGCUGUAAACGAUGGGUACUAGAUGUUGCGGGAAUUGACCCCUGCAGUGUCGCAGCUAACGCAUUAAGUACCCCGCCUGGGAAGUACGGCCGCAAGGUUAAAACUCAAAGGAAUUGACGGGGGCCCGCACAAGCGGUGGAGCAUGUGGUUUAAUUCGAUGCAACGCGAAGAACCUACCUGGGUUUGACAUCCCCUGACAGCCGUAGAGAUACGGUUUUGUAGCAAUACACAGGGAGACAGGUGCUGCAUGGCUGUCGUCAGCUCGUAUCGUGAGAUGUUGGGUUAAGUCCCGCAACGAGCGCAACCCUUGUCCUUAGUUGCCACCAUUCAGUUGGGCACUCUAAGGAGACUGCCGGUGUUAAACCGGAGGAAGGUGGGGAUGACGUCAAGUCCUCAUGGCCUUUAUAUCCAGGGCUACACACGUGCUACAAUGGCCGGUACAAAGGGUUGCCAACCCGCGAGGGGGAGCUAAUCUCAGAAAGCCGGUCUUAGUUCGGAUUGAAGUCUGCAAUUCGACUUCAUGAAGCUGGAAUCGCUAGUAAUCGCGGAUCAGAACGCCGCGG
rnacentral:rRNA from 1 species